rnacentral:lncRNA from 1 species
GUAGGUUAGUGGUGCGACAUUUAGGGAAGGCAGAAAGUAGGUCAGGGACGGAGGUGCCUGUUUACCCGCGCCGGACUCACCGCCGCCGCCGCCGCGGGAUCCGAGUGGGGGCGCGGACGCGGGCGCUCCCGCGAGCCACGGUGGUGCUGGCUGGAGUGCACACUUUUGGACCCAAACUUAAGUUUUCAAAUGUGGACUCCUAGAUCUUCACUGGUAAGUCUGCUCGAUGCCUUC